GGAGAGAUGGCUCAGUGGUUAAGAGCACUGACUGCUCUUACAGAGGACCUGGGUUCAAUUCCCAGCAUCCCCA
rfam:Neotoma lepida isolate 417 scaffold_224, whole genome shotgun sequence.